rnacentral:rRNA from 1 species
AGUGAACGCUGGCGGCAGGCCUAACACAUGCAAGUCGAACGGCAGCACAGUAAGAUUUCGCCUCUACGGUUGGCGACGGGCGGACGGGUGACGCAUACAUCGCCUUCCACUUUUUCGGGGGGGACAACGUAGGGCCAGUUAUGCUAACACCGCAUAUGUUGUACCGCUUAGAUCAAGGGAUCUACACACCUUUGCCGUCUCAAAUAGCUGGUGUCGGAUUAGCUAGUUGGCUAGGUAAAGGCCCACCAAGGCGACGAUGCGUAGCUGAUCUGAGAGGAUGAUCGGCCACACUGGAACUGAGACACGGUCCAGACUCCUACGGGAGGCAGCAGUAGGGAAUAUUGGGCAAUGGGCGAAAGCCUGAUCGAGCAAUGCCGCGUGAGUGAUGAAGGCCUUCGGAUUGUAAAACCCUUUUAUUAGGGAAGAAAAGCAGCGGAUGUAUACCCGGAUGUCUUGACGGUACCCAAAGAGAAAGCACCGGCUAACUUCGUG